rnacentral:lncRNA from 1 species
CUGGGUCUACAGGCAUGAACCACCAGGCCCAGAACCCUGUCUUUUGAAAGCCAUAUGCGAUCUGUCUGCCCUGAAGUGACUACUUCAUCUCCAACCAGCCCUUGGCUGGCAAAGUCAGGAAGACUCCAGUCUUUCCUGAAGACCAGGGGAGAGUUUAUAACUCUAGCAUCAAAGUCAGCAGCUGUUCAUCUAGAAGACAACUUCCCAAAAGUCAAUGUCUUUGCCUGAAGCUUUUCUUCCCAGAUCUCCUAUGGUGAAACAACCAAAGGGAAGAAGAAUGUGGGCAGCCCUCAGUAAGACAGGAGAUGAGCAUCAACAUUGACCCAUUCUUUCUUCCAGUCCUCGAUGCUUACCUUGUACAUUCUUCUUUGUCUUCCGACUCAGUGCCUUUAGGGUAUGGACGUUGCCUGGUCCCACACAAGCCAAGCAUCAAAUGGAUGGCUCAACAAGGAGGCCAAGACCAGCUAAUGUUUAGUGAGCACCCAAAGGGGCCACACUGGAGAGAACAGCACAGCUCCGUCUGAGAAACAGCUGUUCCUUCCUGCCUGAGAGGCAGAGUGAUAGAAGAUAUCACAGAAUGUUGCUGCUUUGUCUUCCACCCUGAACCCUCCACGACCUCCCUGUAGCUUCCUGAUUUUAAGUAGACAUCAAAUGAUUCUUAAUCCUUUCUGGGUCUUGGAACGAUUUGAAAAUUGUCAACAGUACUGGGAUUCCCAGAAUAAUGCACAUAUGUACAUACUCAGAUAUUCCCCAAGCCCUGGAUAUAAUUUUAAGGGAGUUCACAGACCACACUCCCCCACCCAUCUGUGGACCCAGAUUCUGUGGGUUCGAGAUUCAGAAGCCCUGUUUCUAGGCAGGCCCUCUGUUGCUAACGCCCCUCGAGAACAUCACCCUAGAUGAUUAUCCCUUCUUCCUCCACUCCUUCCCACCUUCUCCAACUGCUGGGUUUCAGCACAAAGAUUGCUUGCCAGUUAAACUGGCACCAUGGACCGCACAGUAGUUGUUUCUUGGGUCUAGAGGAAACAGCCAGAUUCCUUUAAGUAAAUCAUGUCUUAGUUA